GACGAACGCUGGCGGCGUGCCUAAUACAUGCAAGUAGAACGCUGAAGAGAGGAGCUUGCUCUUCUUGGUUGAGUUGCGAACGGGUGAGUAACGCGUAGGUAACCUGCCUUUUAGCGGGGGAUAACUAUUUGAAACGAUAGCUAAUACCGCAUAACAAUGGAUGACACAUGUCAUUUAUUUUAAAGGGGCAAUUGUUCCACUACAAGAUGGACCUGAGUUGUAUUAGCUAGUAGGUGAGGUAAUGGCUCACCUAGGCGAAGAUACAUAGCCGACCUGAGAGGGAGGUCGGCCAAAAUGGGAAUGAGACAAGGCCCAGACUCCUAAGGGAGGCAGCAGUAGGGAAACUUCGGAAAAGGGGGCAAAACUGAACGAGCAAAGCCGGGUGAGUGAAGAAGGUUUUCGGAUCGGAAAGCUCUGUUGUAAGUCAAGAAAGGGUGUGAGAGUGGAAAGUUCACACUGUGACGGUAGCUUAACAGAAAGGGACGGCUAACUACGUG
rnacentral:rRNA from 1 species